rnacentral:rRNA from 1 species
GCUUACGGCCAACCUCCCUGAGCAGCCCGAUCUCGUCUUAUCUCGAAGCUAAGCAGGGUCGGGCCCGGUAGUACUUGGAUGGGAGACCGCCUGGGAAACCAGGUGCUGUAAGCC